rnacentral:lncRNA from 1 species
AAUAUUGUUUGAACUUUUUGCCCUUUACUAAAAGUUUUUGUUUUAGACAAAAUUAUCUUUUCAUUAUUUUUUCCUAAUAUUUAAGAGUUGAAAAUUAAUUAAAUGUAUUUAUGGUAAAAACCAUUUCUUAUUAGAAGUCAUCAGAAUCAACGACAACUAAUACUUUUUUUAAUAGUUUAAGUACUAAAUCAACUAGAUUUGAUUUUAAAAAGAUUUGGAAUCUAAAAAUAAAUAUAAAAGUGUUAGAACAAGAAAAAUUUAAGAAGUACCAAAUUUUUAAAAGUUUAAAGUACGUAAUAAGAAUGUAAUCAAUAAUAUUGUAAAGAUUUGACUUUAAAAAUAAGAAAAAAUUUUAAACAUAGAAAAAAAUAGUCGUAUUACAAAAUGGUUCAAAUUGAUGUGUCGCUCUUUACCUCUAACAACAAGGAAAAGAGGUACUGCAUAACAAACACAAAAGUUAUGAUCCAUCAACUAGUUGAAACUUCUGGUGGUAAACAUAUAUGUGUUUACACUAAAAUAUAUAUUUGUGUUUAUAUUAUUAUAUUAAAGUGUGAAGGAUCUUUGAAAAGUGAUUUAAACGUUUUAUACUUCAUUAAAAAUCUUUAGCAUAAAAAAAUUAUUUAAUUUUAAAUAAUCAAACUUUAUAUGUGCGAGGCAUGUGGUUAAACUAGUAUCUAUAUCUAUAAUCUAUAAUAUAUUAAAAGUGUAAAAGACCUUAGAAAUAUUGUUUGAACUUUUUGUCCUUCGUUAAAAGUCUUUACUUUAAAUAAAGUCGUUUUUUCACUAUUUUUUCUAAUAUUUAAUAGUUAAAUAAUUAAAUGUAUUUAUGGUGAAACUUUUUCUUAUUAGAAGUCAUCAGAAUUAAUGAAAACUAUUACUUUAUUCAUUAGUUUAAGAAUUUUAAAUCAACUAGAUUUGAUUUUAAGAAGAUUUGAAAGAUCUAAAAAUAAACAUAAAAGCAUUAGAUAAGAAAAAUUUAGGAAGUAUCAAAAUUUUAAAGUUUUAAGUAGGUAAUAAGAAUGUAACCAAUGAUAUUGUAAAUAUUUGACAUUAAAAGCAAGAAAAAAUAGAAAAAAAAAUCAAAAGUUAUGAUCCAUCAACUACUUGAAACUUCUGGUGGUAAAAUAUAUACUUACACUAAAAUAUAUGUUUAUGUUUACAUUAUCAUACUUAAGUGUGAAGGAUCUUUGAAAAGUGAUUUGAACUUUUUAUACUUCAUUAAAAAUCUUUAUAAUAAAUAAAAUUAUUUAAUUUUAAAUAAUUAAAUAUUAUAUGUGCGAGGCACGUGUGGUUAAACGAGUAUUCUAUUAAAAAUAUGAAGACCGUUAGAUAAGUGAUUCAAACUUUUUUCUCUUCAUUAAAAGUUUUUUUUUCCAGACAAAUUCAUCUUUUUACUAUUUUGCUAAUUUUAUUAUUUAGUUAAACAAAAGUCUCCUAAUCAUAAAAUAUAUGGAAAGGAAAAAAAAAACUACUAAUAUGGGGAAUGUGCCGGUGGAAUUUGAGGAAAAGGAUUUUGAUCAACAGUGACGAUAAUUUUUUUUUUAAUGUCUUUGGUUUAAAUAAAAAAAAUGUAUGGUAGUCAAACCUCUACCACUAAUAUGAUUUACUUUUAUUUCUUAUUUUAACUAAUCGUUUUGGUCGACUUUACAAACUUUUUGGCAGUAAUUGUUAGUAGCAUAAAUACAAUUAAGUUAUUAAUUAAUUAUUGCCCUAAACUUUAGAAUUUAAAACUAAUUAAAGUUCUUAUCUAUUUAAAUUAAAAAUCAUAAUAUUUUAACAUUCUAAAUCAAUUAGAAAUUUACCUUAUAUAGAAAAAAAUUUGUACAAUUGAUAUUUAAGUAAUAUUCCUCAAAAUUUUAAUCAAAUUGCAUUACACAUGAUCAAGUCUUGGUCAAAACCCUUCUUUUGUAUUAAGCCUAGCUGGCCUUUUGCCUUUCAAUUAAUUAAGGAUAAAUUACACAAAUUUCAUGCUUAACGGACUAUAUUACCUAAUAUUUUUUACUAUUUUAAAAUUUACAUAAAAUCCAUUUCAACUUUACUCGUGAAACAUAUCAAGAAAACCCACAUCCUAUUUUUACUCCACCAUUAACUCAUUCAAGAUUUUCUUUCCUAAAAUAUCUCCCUAAUUAUCAACAAUUAAAUCAUCCUCCUUCUUGAUUUUUUUCCUUCCAUUAAUGCUUAAAUCAUCUUCCUUUCUGAUUUUUUUUCUCCUCCAUUAAUGCAUGUAACUUUUUUUCCUCUCCUAAAAUCUCUCUUUUUUAAAAAUAAAAUAAAAUCUAUUGAUACAUAUAUAAAUUUAUUUAGUUAUUCAUAAAUGUUUAUUUUUUUAAUGGUGAUUCAUAUGAAUGAUAAACAUGAUAUCAUUAUAUGAGUAUUAUGGUAAUUCAUACGAUAGAUACAUUUUGUAUGAUUUUAACGGGUGAUACAUAUGAUAUUAAUGGGUGAUACAUAUGAUAUUAAUGGGUGAUAUAUAUGGUAUUAUGGUGAUUCAUAUGGUAGAUACAAUUAUUUAUUUUAAUUAUUGGGUGGUUCAUAGAUAUGGUAUUAUGGUGAUUAAUAUGGUAGAUACAAUUAUUUAUUUCAAUUACUAGUGGAAUGGGAUCGCGCUUCGGCGGUGAUAAACUAUUUUAUUGAAUAAAAAUAUAAUUUUUAUGAUUAUUCAAGUGCAAUGAAUGCGUUAAGAUUUCUUUUAGAUUCAAAUUCAAAAAAUUAAAGUUAAUACUUUAAAUUCAUAAUAUUAUUAUAAUUAGUUGUGUAGUUUAUUCAAAUUUUUCACUCUUUAAAAAUUUAUGAUCUUUUAGGGAUACUUGAUU